CAUUGAAUGACAUAUGUCAUCUCCACUGGCGUUCAUAUACUUCAAUGCAAAAACAAACGAUUUCUGCAGAUAUUUAUAACGACCAUGUCAUUGUACAAUUUGCAUAGCAGGUAGCUAAAUUUGCGGGCUUGCUAUGCAAAAGGAGAGCUUCGAAUGACUUGAUAUGUCGUGCUUUUAAACUAUUCUUGACUGAACUUGAACUUACAAGAAAUGACUUGUCACUCAUGAGGGCCGCCAUCAAAACGGAAAAACAAUGUGUUUUUUUUUGAAAACACACAUAUUAUAAAUAUUUGGCACCCAAGCAAUCGGUUAGCAAGGGCGACACCCUGAACGGUGCUAUUUAUGACAAUACAGAUAAGAUAAUAAAUCAAAAUUGAGUCGACUUAUGUCAUGAAAAUUUACAUCUCUGGUGCAAGAUCUACGAUGUUAUACAAAGUGGAACGUAUUGUUUGAGGGAAUAUGAAAUGGGAUUUCUGAGAAAAGCCGAAAAACCAUGGUAUGAGAAAUGUUUGUUGCGAAAAUGGAGAAACAGAGAAUAGACGUGCGAUCUGGUGGGGAGAAGUUGGGAUUCAAGGAAACGUUUGUUCAUAUGACACAUGGCAACGUUCUAAGAAUAUUUUGAAGGUUAUUGCUUUGACUUGUUAUAUAGAUAGUUCAGUUUUACUCUGUCAGUCAGUCUUCUAUUAAAACGACGAUUUUCCCAUUAUUACAGUUAUAUUUGCCCAUUAAAUUUAGCUGCAUCAGAAUAGAAA